UACGUAGGGGGCGAGCGUUGUCCGGAGUUACUGGGCGUAAAGGGCGCGCAGGCGGUCUGGUAAGUUUGGAGUGACAGUGCUCGGCUUAACUGAGCAAGGCCUUCGAAAACUAUCAGACUUGAGCACUCAAGAGGGACAUAGAAUUCCGGGUGGAGUGGUGAAAUGCGUAGAUAUCUGGAGGAACACCGGUGGCGAAGGCGGCAUCCUGGACCGACACUGACGCUGAGGAGCGAAAGCCAGGGGAGCAAACGGG
rnacentral:rRNA from 1 species